AGUGAACGCUGGCGGUAGGCCUAACACAUGCAAGUCGAACGGCAGCACAGUAAGAGCUUGCUCUUACGGGUGGCGAGUGGCGGACGGGUGAGGAAUACAUCGGAAUCUACUUUUUCGUGGGGGAUAACGUAGGGAAACUUACGCUAAUACCGCAUACGACCUACGGGUGAAAGCAGGGGAUCUUCGGACCUUGCGCGAUUGAAUGAGCCGAUGUCGGAUUAGCUAGUUGGCGGGGUAAAGGCCCACCAAGGCGACGAUCCGUAGCUGGUCUGAGAGGAUGAUCAGCCACACUGGAACUGAGACACGGACCAGACGCCUACGGGAGGCAGCAGUGGGGAAUAUUGGACAAUGGGCGCAAGCCUGAUCCAGCCAUACCGCGUGGGUGAAGAAGGCCUUCGGGUUGUAAAGCCCUUUUGUUGGGAAAGAAAAGCAGCAGGUUAAUACCCCGCUGUUCUGACGGUACCCAAAGAAUAAGCACCGGCUAACUUCGUG
rnacentral:rRNA from 1 species